AUGACUCCAAUUCACUACAAAACCUGUGCACCAUCUUUCAGCGGUACCGCUGUAAUUAAAGGCGACUUCGCUAGACAUCAAAUUGAAGAUCUCUAAAGGUACAAACUUAAAAUUAUUUGUCAAAAUUUGCCCUAAUAUUGUACAUUUGCAGGCCAAUAUGUAGUAUUAUUCUUCUACCCUCUCGAUUUCACUUUUGUCUGCCCAACUGAAAUCAUCGCCUUCUCCGACAGAGCUGAAGAAUUCAAGAAGAUUAACACUGCAGUUAUUGGAGUGUCCACUGACAGUCAUUUCUCCCAUUUGGCAUGGAUCAACACCCCCCGUAAACAGGGAGGUUUGGGUGAAAUGCAAAUCCCCCUUUUGGCCGACAAGAGUAUGGCCAUUGCUAAAGCUUACGGAGUUUUAGAUGAAUCGAGCGGUAUCGCUUUUCGUGGAUUGUUCAUCAUCGAUCCAAAGGGAACCCUUCGUCAGGUCACGGUCAACGACUUGCCAGUAGGUCGUUCGGUUGACGAGACCCUCCGUUUGGUUCAAGCCUUCCAAUUCACUGAUGAACACGGUGAGGUGUGUCCAGCCGGCUGGACUCCGGGCAAGAAAACCAUCAAACCAACAGUGGACAAGAGCAAGGAAUACUUCAACACCGCCAACUAAGUUGGGCUCGUGUCCCAGAACACUUUUUUUUACCUACUCCAUAUUUUAUUUACUUCCAAAAUUUGUUUUCCCUUUAGUGUAACUGUUUUGUGUUUUUGAUGUUCUUUGGUUAUUCAUUAUACAACUUAAUAUUAAGAAUAAAUAUUGUUAACAAAUGUAAUAAAACAUUGUGUAU